GUUCUAGGCACGGGAUGACAUCUCAGUACACAGGAUAAGAGAAGGGUGGACAAUCUAUUGACUGGUUUUGGAAAAAAACUUUUGUAUAUCAACUGACUGUUAACAUGGGACUGGACAUCAAUAAAUAGCGUGCUCGGGGAAGACAGCAGCGCUGCUCCCUGGUGACGUAAUCACACACGAAGACAUAAGCCCCGAUAUACGCGCCUUGCACCGGAGCCGCACCUGUGACAGGGGUGUCUGCGCCAGAGGUCCCGGGUUCACGCCUGCCCUCUGCCUGCCCGAGUGUGGAUUGUUUCGCCCAUGA